rnacentral:rRNA from 1 species
AUUGAACGCUGGCGGCAUGCUUUACACCUGCAAGUCGAACGGUAACAGGCCGCAAGGUGCUGACGAGUGGCGAACGGGUGAGUAAUGCAUCGGAACGUGCCCAGUCGUGGGGGAUAACUACUCGAAAGAGUAGCUAAUACCGCAUACGAUCUAUGGAUGAAAGCGGGGGACCGUAAGGCCUCGCGCGAUUGGAGCGGCCGAUGUCAGAUUAGGUAGUUGGUGGGGUAAAGGCUUACCAAGCCAACGAUCUGUAGCUGGUCUGAGAGGACGACCAGCCACACUGGGACUGAGACACGGCCCAGACUCCUACGGGAGGCAGCAGUGGGGAAUUUUGGACAAUGGGCGCAAGCCUGAUCCAGCAAUGCCGCGUGCAGGAAGAAGGCCUUCGGGUUGUAAACUGCUUUUGUACGGAACGAAACGGCUCUGGUUAAUACCCGGGGCUAAUGACGGUACCGUAAGAAUAAGCACCGGCUAACUACGUG